rnacentral:rRNA from 1 species
GAUGAACGCUGGCGGCGUGCCUAAUACAUGCAAGUCGAGCGAACAGACGAGGAGCUUGCUCCUCUGACGUUAGCGGCGGACGGGUGAGUAACACGUGGAUAACCUACCUAUAAGACUGGGAUAACUUCGGGAAACCGGAGCUAAUACCGGAUAAUAUAUUGAACCGCAUGGUUCAAUAGUGAAAGACGGUUUUGCUGUCACUUAUAGAUGGAUCCGCGCCGCAUUAGCUAGUUGGUAAGGUAACGGCUUACCAAGGCGACGAUGCGUAGCCGACCUGAGAGGGUGAUCGGCCACACUGGAACUGAGACACGGUCCAGACUCCUACGGGAGGCAGCAGUGGGGAAUAUUGCACAAUGGGCGGAAGCCUGAUGCAGCAGCGCCGCGUGCGGGAUGACGGCCUUCGGGUUGUAAACCGCUUUCGCCUGUGACGAAGCGUGAGUGACGGUAAUGGGUAAAGAAGCACCGGCUAACUACGUG